rnacentral:tRNA from 1 species
GGCCCGGUAGGCGAACUGGCAACGACACCCGCCUCAGACGCGGGAGAGUGGGGGUUCGAAUCCCUCUCGGGCCAC